UCAGGCAGAGUGUUCUGGAAUCCCCUCUGCAGGUUGCCCUGAGCACAAUGAUGCCCUGUAGCAGCUUGAAGUGGGAGGUAUUCUCUUUUGAAUGGGAGAGUUGUGUGUCCACCCUAGAUCCCCAGAAACACACCCUACUUGUACGGGCAGGAUCCAACUCAGACUUGAUGAAGCAACUGGUCUAUCAAGCAUUGAUGAGGCAAGCAGGAAACCUAAUGAAAAUAAUACAAGGAAAUCUUUUCAUCAACACCCACCCCUUAAUGUCUCAGCUAUCAGGUCAUUGUGUUUGCUUCUCUCCAUGGAAUACUCAUCUGCAGCCAACGUCGGAAGCUCCGAUUUUAA